rnacentral:rRNA from 1 species
UACGUAGGGGGCAAGCGUUGUCCGGAAUCAUUGGGCGUAAGCGCGCGUAGGCGGCCCGGUAAGUCCGCUGUGAAAGUCAAAGGCUCACCUUUGAAUGCCGGUGGAUACUGCCGGGCUAGAGUCCGGAAGAGGCGAGUGGAAUCCUGGUGUAGCGGUGGAAUGCGCAGAUAUCAGGAGGAACACCAUAGCGAAGGCAGCUCGCUGGGACGGUACUGAC